AUUGAACGCUGGCGGCAGGCCUAACACAUGCAAGUCGAACGAGUGGCGGACGGGUGAGUAAUGUCUGGGAAACUGCCUGAUGGAGGGGGAUAACUACUGGAAACGGUAGCUAAUACCGCAUACCAUCAGAUGUGCCCAGAUGGGAUUAGCUAGUUGGGGGGGUAACGGCUCACCAAGGCGACGAUCCCUAGCUGGUCUGAGAGGAUGACCGGCCACACUGGAACUGAGACACGGCCCAGACUCCUACGGGAGGCAGCAGUGGGGAAUAUUGCACAAUGGGCGCAAGCCUGAUGCAGCCAUGCCGCGUGUAUGAAGAAGGCCUUCGGGUUGUAAAGUACUUUUAGUGGGGAGGCGUUACCCGCAGAAGAAGCACCGGCUAACUCCGUGCCAGCAGCCGCGGUAAUAC
rnacentral:rRNA from 1 species